rnacentral:rRNA from 1 species
CCUACGGGGUGCAGCAGUGAGGAAUAUUGGUCAAUGGGCGCAAGCCUGAACCAGCCAAGUCGCGUGAGGGAUGACGGUCCUAUGGAUUGUAAACCUCUUUUGUCGGGGAGCAAGGCCCGCCACGUGUGGCGGGAAGGAGAGUACCCGAAGAAAAAGCAUCGGCUAACUCCGUGCCAGCAGCCGCGGUAAUACGGAGGAUGCGAGCGUUAUCCGGAUUUAUUGGGUUUAAAGGGUGCGUAGGCGGAAGGUUAAGUCAGCGGUAAAAUGUCGGUGCUCAACACCGGCCUGCCGUUGACACUGGUCUUCUUGAGUGAGCGAGAAGUAUGCGGAAUGCGUGGUGUAGCGGUGAAAUGCAUAGAGAUGACGCAGAACUCCGAAGGCGAAGGCAGCAUACCGGCGCUCAACUGACGCUGAGGCACGAAAGCGUGGGGAUCGAACAGGAUUAGAUACCCUGGUAGUC